rnacentral:tRNA from 1 species
CCCCUGGUAGCUCAGUUGGUAGUAGCGCCUGUGUGAAGAACAGGAGGGCGUUGGUUCGAUUCCAACCUGGGGGG